UGCAUCCGCCGGGAAUCGAACCCAGGCCUCGCGUGACAGGCGAGCAUUCUACCAAUGAACCACCGAUGC
rnacentral:tRNA from 1 species